rnacentral:rRNA from 1 species
UACGUAGGGGGCAAGCGUUGUCCGGAUUUAUUGGGCGUAAAGAGCUCGUAGGCGGUUUGUUGCGUCGGCUGUGAAAUCCCGAGGCUCAACCUCGGGUCUGCAGUCGAUACGAGCAAACUAGAGUGUUGCAGGGGAGACUGGAAUUCCUGGUGUAGCGGUGAAAUGCGCAGAUAUCAGGAGGAACACCGGUGGCGAAGGCGGGUCUCUGGGCAACAACUGACGUUGAGGAGCGAAAGCGUGGGGAGCGAACAGG